CGGUAAAAUACUUUUCAUAUUGUCAUAUAAAAUGAACUACAACACACACAUCGAACAUUAACAAAUCGGAUUAUCUUCAUGCCCGUUGCAUUCUCUGCUGCCAAUUGGAAUGGCUAAAGAUAAAUUUUGCCAAUAGUUAAUAAUUAUUAGUAGUAAUUAUUAGUUAAUAUUUAAUAACCUACAGGAUGUUACUCUGGUGGAGACAUACACGAAAACUGACAGCAGUUAAUGGAUGAAAGACACUACCCCUCUGGUCAACUUAAUGUACUAAACAGUGAGUGGUUAUAUUUCUUGCUAUGCCAACUGAAUCUUUCCAAGAGCUGUGAAGCCACAAUGUGCUGGUCAACGCGGUUGAACGAAUUAAACUGGACUGCGACAUUCAAAUUUCGAUUCAUCCGAUUUACCAGUGAGUCUCCAGAGCCACGCUUGUCACUGCCUUAUUGUUGGACAUUCCAUGCCUAGUGAAGAAUGCGAAUUGACGGAUAAACCGCUUGCCGAGCACUGUACCUUUCGUUUACAUCCUGGCUUUAGUUUCUCUUUUGGAUUCAAGAAACCCCCAUCAUGUCCGGCUGUGGAAUUCCUCUAAUCAAACAUCGUGUACGUCGUAUCGCUGACUGGUGCACUACGCUCUCUUGCUGUGCUGACGUCCGGGUGGAUUGGUUCUUCUGGAAAAGUUGUGAAAUCGGAUUUCUGCUCACGUAAAGGAAUG